rnacentral:lncRNA from 1 species
CUCUUCUUGUGGCUGGCUCGGUGGCUAGAACAAGUUACUCCUUUUUCUUUUUCUUUUUUUGAUAAUUUUUUUAUUUAAACUCAAUUAAAGAAAAGAAAAACAAAUUUCUGGAGAUUGAUCGCAGCUUUCCUCUUAGGGUUUAUCGGUGACAAGGUAGAUGCAUUUUCUUUUAUUUUUUGUUUUUUAAAAAUGGAGGAAAAAGAAAAGUGGAUGAUGAAAACAAUCAGACGGAUUCCCAUUGAUUUUUUUUCUAUGAGAACAUUAUCAGCUACUUCUGGCUCUUAGAUUUUUUUUUCGUCGUUUUAUUUUAUUUUUAUAUCUUUUAUUGAGAAAAAAAUAUUUUCUACUCUUAUGGUGGUUUAAAGUUUAAACCACUAUCUGAUUGUUUCCACCAAGAUUUCAGAGGUUUUUUUUUUCAGUUAAUUUUAUCAAAUCUGUAUUGUUUAUAAUCGUUUUCUAGAUUUUUAAAAUUAAGUACUUGGGUUUUUAAUGAAUUCGUUGGUUUACUAAUUUUUUAAUAAAAAUUUUAAGCUUAUUUUUUGUGUUUUAUCAUUUUAGUAGUCUAUUUUUUUUUAAUUUUUAAAAAAUUAAUUAAAAUUUUACUAUAUUACGAGAGUAAAUUAUUAUUAAUUUAAAAUUUUAUAAAUUCCAAAACAACAAUGGAAAAUUUUCUAUUUUGGAAGGAUUUGGCUUCGCCUGGCUAGAAUAGAAGAUCCAUUGAGUUACGUAGAAGGAAUCUCUGUUAUGAAGUGCAGCAGUUUUCAAUGACGAUAGUUUUGGCGGUGCCUUUAAACUGGAGUCAAAACGUUGCCGUUUCUUCUGUGAAAGAUCAUUCAUUAAGCUUUCGUUCAGUGGUUUUUUAUUUCGUAUGUUAAUUUACCAAUUUCCUUUUUUCUUUUUUGAUAUAAAGAUCUGAUUAUUUUGCUGGUGGAUUUUUGAAUUGCUGAUAGUAAGUUUUAAUUUUUAACACAGAAUUAUCAGUUUUUAACAUUGAAUUAUUGCGAAUUUAAUAAUUCAGAUUAAAUUGGUAACACCACUUGUAUCCUUUAAUACAAUAUUUCUCGUAUUAGAUCUAGCUUUUAAAAUUUUAUACACUAAUGUAAAUUCAUUAAUUUACAUUUAGCAUUCCACGUAUGAAGCUAGUAAUGUAUUAUUGAAAAUUACGUCAAAAAAAAUAUCAUGUGAAAAGCUAGUUACGUAGAAAGAAGAUCGGUAUUUGUAGCAAGUCUGUAAUCCAAAUUUUUUUAUUUUUCUUUUUUGAGAAAUCAACAUGCAUAUAAUAAUAAUAAUAAUAAUAAUAAUAAUAAAGAAACCACCACUUGAAAUAAAUAAAUAAAAAACCUAAAACCCAUCCUCCCUGAGAAGAAAAACGGUAAAAAGAAAAACAUAGACAUCAUAAAAUGACUUACGAAUUCUUAGAAAACCCUACACCGCUUACCUACAACCCACCCCCCCAACCCAACCCCGCCUUGGAUUAUUCAUUUAUAUCCCCUUGAAGAUGGUCCCAUGGUACUGUAAAAUCUAUAAUAAAAUUCUAAAGCCAGUAAAAAACCACCAAGCAUUCAUUAUAUUUUACAAGACCACAAACACAUCCCCAAGGGGAUCCAUAGAAAAUGUUAGCAACCGUUUGAUAAAAAGUUCUUCACUGUUUAGGGUAUCCUGAACCAUCUUCUGAAAGAAGGCCGUUCGAGUGAGGAAUUGGAUUGGCUUCUUUGAUCAAAUCACCAUUUGUUGUUGCUAU